UACAGAGGGGGCGAGCGUUGUUCGGAAUUACUGGGCGUAAAGGGCGCGUAGGCGGCCCGCUAAGUCGAACGUGAAAUCCCCGAGCUCAACUCGGGAACUGCGUCCGAUACUGGCGGGCUUGAAUCCGGGAGAGGGAUGCGGAAUUCCAGGUGUAGCGGUGAAAUGCGUAGAUAUCUGGAGGAACACCGGUGGCGAAGGCGGCAUCCUGGACCGGCAUUGACGCUGAGGCGCGAAAGCUAGGGGAGCAAACGGG
rnacentral:rRNA from 1 species